GCUGGGCUGGGAGGCCGCCAUCGGGCGCCGCCUUUUAUAACACCGGGGAGGCAGGAGACCCAGUCAGGCGGCUCAGAAGCCCCGAAGCGGGCGGUGGAGGCGAGCGCCGUGCCAAGCACGUGACUUGGCGGUCUCUCCGCCGGGAAGCGGCCUGCUCCCGCCGGCCGGGAGGCUCUUUCGGGGCGGCUGGCUCCGAGCUUUCUCGAUCGGGUUUUGCUUUAGCUCUUUGCCCGCCUCCGCUCCGCCGGCUUCCCCAACGCGUUGUGGGGCUCCGCGAGUCCGCCUCCCGUUUCUCCUUUGGACGGAAGAAAGGGACUCGAACUAGGACGCGCCGGGAUCGCCCCUCCGUCGAGAGAGGUGGAGACCAGAGGGAAGGGUCCCUGGCGGCGGGGAGAAAAGCGCGGGCGAGCUCCCUCAACGACCGAAGUUGCAGCAAGCCCCCCUGGCUAACUGAACCCCGUGAGUCACGGAAGGCCGUUUUCUUUUCUGUACUUGUAGAUGGACUAAACCAUCACACAAGCUGGAUAGUUUAUGGCUCAGUCGGUCGUGGGAACACGGUCAAUAUUCCUCUCGCAUCUUUCCCGAACACUGUUUAGCUUUAGCAGUAAUCUCCACAUGUAAACAAUUUAAAAUCGGCUAUUUUCACAAAAAAAAGGGGGGUUCACCGAGCAAGCCCUUUCCAGCGUAGCAUUUUUCUGCAAUGCAAAAUAUCGACAUUAUUUUGCUGCAUACAGGUAGUACUCAACAGCCACAAUUGACCCCGAAAUUUAUAUUGCUAAAUAAGAAAUUUGUUAAGUGAGUUUUGCCUCAUUUUACCACUUUCUUGCCACGGUUGUUAAAUGGAUCAUCGCAAUUGCUUGGUAACAUGGUUGUUAAGUGAAUCUGGUUUCCCCAUUGAUUUUGUUUGUCGGAAGGUCAUAAAAGCUGUUCACUUGACCAUGAGACACUGCAACUGUCAUACAUAUGGGCCAGUUGCCAAGCACCUUAACUCUGAAUUAUCACUAAACAGUUAUAAAUCAAGGACCACCUAUACUGCAAUCCUUGAUUCUGGACUGGACAAUUGUUUCUUGCUAAAACACAAUAGCAAGAAUGAUGCUUUUAAUUCUCACAGAAUAAAGGUUUGUUCUUUCAAGUAUGGUAGAUGGUUUGCAGCUAUAGUAAAAUGCUGACUGAGGAAAAUAUAAAUCAGGAGCCCUGGUAGCACCAGCUAAUAAAUAUUAUUAAAAGUCAGCAUCUUAAUCUUUCACAAAUAGCAGUUCAGCUCAUCAUUACAGUCCAUUUAAAAAAUUGCCUUUAAAAAAAACCUUUAAAAGAAUUGUUAGUUGAAAACCAGAUUCCUGAUUUUUUGCUACUAUACAUGGCUCUUCUACAAAUAAGAUAUAGCAUUUGUUGCUGCCCUCUUACAUUAUCUGGCUCAUCUAAAAAAAUCCUAAUCCAGUUUACUUUUAGUGCGACAACCGAUGUAUCAAUGAUAUGGUAUGCCAUUAGGUAUGCCUACUGUUCUAUUUUUGUAUAACAAAAUGUAUCCAACAGCAGUCCAAAAUAAAUAAUAAACUGUA
rnacentral:lncRNA from 1 species